rnacentral:misc_RNA from 1 species
GAUGAAGAACGUAGCGAAAUGCGAUACUUGGUGUGAAUUGCAGAAUCCCGUGAACCAUCGAGUCUUUGAACGCAAGUUGCGCCUCAAGCCAUUAGGUUGAGGGCACGUCUGCCUGGGCGUCACAUAUCGUUGCCUGAUGCCAGUUUCCUCGUGAUGGGUGACUGUGCAGGGCGAAUGAUGGCUUCCCGUGAGCAUUGUUGCCUCAUGGUUGGUUGAAAAUUGAGUCCUUGGUAGGGUGCGCCGUGAUAGAUGGUGGUUGAGUGACGAACGAGACCCAAUCAUGUGAGACCCCUACCGAAUUUGGCCUUCAUGACCCACAUGCGUCUUUGGAACGCUCAUGACGAGACCUCAGGUCAGGCGGGGCUACCCGCUGAGUUUAAGCAUAUCAAUAAGCGGAGGA